rnacentral:rRNA from 1 species
CAGUAGCCGCGGUAAUACGUAGGUCCCGAGCGUUGUCCGGAUUUAUUGGGCGUAAAGCGAGCGCAGGCGGUUAGAUAAGUCUGAAGUUAAAGGCUGUGGCUUAACCAUAGUACGCUUUGGAAACUGUUUAACUUGAGUGCAAGAGGGGAGAGUGGAAUUCCAUGUGUAGCGGUGAAAUGCGUAGAUAUAUGGAGGAACACCGGUGGCGAAAGCGGCUCUCUGGCUUGUAACUGACGCUGAGGCUCGAAAGCGAGGGGAGCAAACAGGAUUAGAUACCCGCGUAGUCCCUGUCUCUUAUACA